GGCCUUGUAGCUCAGAGGCAGAGCAUUGGUCUCGUAAACCAGGGGUCGUGAGUUCAACCCUCACCAAGGCCU